GUUGUUCUUUUGAACUUUCUAUUCAUCUAAAAAUCCUGUAAAUCACAGUUUCAACAAAAAUAUAGCAUAAAUGUAUUAACAUUGAUAAUAUUAAGAAAUGUUACUUGAGCAGCAAAUCAGCAUAUUGGAAUGAUUUCUGAAGGAUCAUGUGAGAAGCGCAGCCCAGGACAUUUUUAUUGUGAGAUUUACCUUCAUGAUCAACAUUUGUAAAAUGUAAUAUUAUUGACACUGUUUGUAAUCAGAAGCGUCUCUAAAGUCCCUGCUUGUUCAUUUUGCAGGUGUUCACACCUCUUUUCAUCCUAUGUUGAAUGGCGAGCCUCCACCGUAUGGACCACACUCACAUCUGUCCUCUCAGCUCUGUCCAGCAGCCAAUGACAGGGCAGCAUUAGUUUGCAAGGACCAGCCAAGCAUCAGCACACAGCAAGUGAAUCACCGGCCAGACAGUCUGGAGUUUACCGUGGAGCUGAACGGAUACGCAGAAUUUGGCCCUUUCCCACCAAGCUUCACGUCUAGAGGGACUUCCACUGCAAAGGAUUGUGGGAACAUCAUCGAGAGCAGUUGUUCAGGAAUUUCCUCUCAGCUGGAGUCUUCAGAUGCAUUUGAUGAUCUAAAUGACUCCGACUCCUUCCCGCCUCCUCCGCCCCCGGUUUUCUUUGAUCCGUCUGAUUCCCCGGCGGCUGUCACCGAAGCCGAAGACGUGCCCGCGACACCGGUCCGCAGCAGCACCGCCAGGGUCAGCUUCAGAGAGCCAAUCAGCUGCAGCUAUUCAGUGGAAGAGGAAGAGUGGGAGGAAGAGGAAGUGGUGGAGACGGAGAGAAGAGGGGGUGAGGAUGAGGAGCAGGAGGAAGAUGAAGGAAGUGUGGGACACAGGUUGCACUUCUGCGCUGAAGGACCCUCUCAAAUGGACCUGCUGGAUGGGUCGAACCACCGCAGGUUCCAUCGGGGAAGCGGCGGCCACCAUCCCAGCGAGAAGCGGCUCAGAUGCUCCCGAGGUCCACGAAGCGACAGACCUCGCCUGGAAACCCUGGAAUGCAGGGUAGGGGACCGCAGGCGGUCCAACAGCGUCCUGGACGGCAGCCUUACCCUGCACUCCACCCGCUACCGGCACGAAGACUCCUGCUCCACCUGCUCCUCCUCCUCAGACUCAGAGGAGGAAGGCUUCUUUCUGGGCCAGCGCAUUCCUCUGCCGCCGCAGCUGACGGGUGGAGAGAGAGCAGCAGAAGGACAGAGAGAGGACGAGGACAAGAGCCGAAGAGGAAGUUUCAGGAGGAGGACACAGAGUCUUGGUAGAAAAGACAAGGAUAAGGACAAGAACUGCAUACUGUCCUGAGACAAAGACAUGCGUGUUAAAAACUGGAAAUUAAAGAACGCGGUCCCAGCUGCUCAGUCUAGAUCAAAGUUUAUGAGUCACAUAUUGUGUGAUAAAAAUAGAAACUAUCUUACAGUCUGUGCAAAUGUGUGCCAGUAUUUUUAUAAAGGUGAUGAAAUAUUAUCUAAUAUCAGUUUCAGUAUCAUGGUGCUUAGUCAAAUUUACUAGCAUUAUUAUUCGGGCCGAGGAACAUUUUGAAUCCAAGCUUUGUUUGUUACAGGAAAAGCAGAACUACAGUUUCUACAUUUAAUGUGAGAGAGCUAGGUGAGCUGAUUUCAUUUUACAUCUCUUUACAGCUAAAGGCCUGUUUCACACAAAAAUAUUUAGCGCAAAAAAUCACUUCAAUUUUGGCAUGCAGUUCAUUUGAUCAGUAUGGAAGCUUGUUUCCUCCACGUAAUAAAUAAAUAAAAGGUAAUUGCUACUUUUUCCCC
ensembl:lncRNA